rnacentral:rRNA from 1 species
UACGUAGGGUGCAAGCGUUGUCCGGAAUUAUUGGGCGUAAAGAGCUCGUAGGCGGCUUGUCGCGUCGGCUGUGAAACCUGGGCUCAACCCCGGGCCUGCAGCCGAUACGGGCAAGCUAGAAUUCGGUAGGGGAGACUGGAAUUCCUGGUGUAGCGGUGAAAUGCGCAGAUAUCAGGGAGGAACACCGGUGGCGAAGGCGGGUCUCUGGGCCGGAUAUUGACGCUGGAGGAGCGAAAGCGUGGGGAGCGAACAGG